rnacentral:sRNA from 1 species
GCUGGGCGUGGUGGUGCAUGCCUGUAAUCCCAGCAUCUUGGGAGGCUGAGGCAGGAGAAUUGCGAGUUCAAAGCCAGCCUCAGCAACUGUGAGGCACUAAGGCAACUCAGUGAGACCCUAUCUCUA